AAUAUUGGACAAUGGGGGCAACCCUGAUCCAGCCAUGCCGCGUGUGUGAAGAAGGUCUUCGGAUUGUAAAGCACUUUAAGUUGGGAGGAAGGGCUUUAGGCUAAUACCCUGAAGUUUUGACGUUACCAACAGAAUAAGCACCGGCUAACUUCGUGCCAUCAGCCGCGGUAAUACAGAGGGUGCAAGCGUUAAUCGGAAUUACUGGGCGUAAAGCGCGCGUAGGUGGUUUGUUAAGUUGGAAGUGAAAGCCCCGGGCUCAACCUGGGAACUGCUUUCAUAACUGCUGAGCUAGAGUACGGUAGAGGGUAGUGGAAUUUCCUGUGUAGCGGUGAAAUGCGUAGAGAUCUGGAGGAAUACCGAUGGCGAAGGCAGCCUUCUGGCAUCAUACUGACACUGAGGUGCGAAAGCGUGGGGAGCAAAC
rnacentral:rRNA from 1 species